rnacentral:rRNA from 1 species
AUUGAACGCUGGCGGCAGGCCUAACACAUGCAAGUCGAGCGAGAGGCGGACGGGUGAGUAAUGUCUGGGAAACUGCCUGAUGGAGGGGGAUAACUACUGGAAACGGUAGCUAAUACCGCCUACACUCAGAUGUGCCACGAUGGGAUUAGCUAGUGGGUGGGUGAACGGCUCACCUGGGCGACGAUCCCUCGCUGGUCUGAGCGGAUGACCAGCAACAUGGGACCGGAGACACGGUCCAGACUCCUAGGGGAGGCAGCAUUGGGGAAUAUUGCACAAUGGGCGCAAGCCUUAUGAAGCCAUGCCGCGUGUGUGAAGAAGGCUUUCGGGUUGUAAAGCACGUUCAGCGGGGAGGCGUUACCCGCAGAAGAAGCACCGGCUAACUCCGUGCCAGCAGCCGCGGUAAUAC